rnacentral:lncRNA from 1 species
CCUGGGGACACAGCCGUCCCACCUGGGCCACCUGAGCAGUGGCGUCAGGAAGCCCGGGAGGAAGAGCCGGGGCGGCGGACAGGAUCCGCCACUAGAGGGCGCCGCUUUCCCCCGUUAAACAUGGCGCUGCCCGCUUGGUCCCAGGCCCGGGGAAGGCGCGCGGCCUGCGUGGGUCUCUGGGAAUCCAGCAGGACUCCUUUUGAUCCCGGGCUGCGCUGAAUGGCAGCGGCCUUCUGGGGGCCAUUUCUCCGGUGCCCUUUCUGGGGCACUGCCUUCCUCUCUCGCCAAUCUUUUCCACUGUCACCAUUUCCCCGUCCGCGGGGCGGGAGAGGGAUGUGACCGCGGCCCCUGAGCCCUUGCUCAGCCCCUGACUAGAGAAGGACCCGGGCCGGUCUGGGGGACCCGGGGCUCAGGGAGCGGCCGGGCAGUACUCGAUGUCCUGCCAGGACAUUCUUCUGCGCUGUCUCACCCUGGCCGCCUCCCUCCUCCCGGCCGGCCCUUCCCUCAAGCUCUCUGAACCGAGGGUCUCCAGGGCAGAAGACAUCCCAGUGCCCUGUCCAAAACGCAUCUGCAACGUCGACUGUGGUCUAUGCGCCUAGAGACUCUGGUUAGGG